rnacentral:rRNA from 1 species
AAUCAACGCUGGCGGCGUGCCUCAGACAUGCAAGUCGAACGAUUAAACUUUCCUUCGGGAAAGAUAUAAAGUGGCGCACGGGUGAGUAACACGUAGGUAAUGUGCCUUUGGGUGGGGAAUAACUUAGGAAACUUAAGCUAAUACCGCAUAAUGCAGCGGCUCCUUCGGGAGACAGUUGUUAAAGAUUUAUCGCCUAAAGAGCAGCCUGCGGCAGAUUAGCUAGUUGGUAAGGUAACGGCUUACCAAGGCUACGAUCUGUAUCCGGUCUAAGAGGACGGUCGGACACACUGACACUGAAUAACGGGUCAGACUCCUACGGGAGGCAGCAGUCGGGAAUUUUGGGCAAUGGGCGAAAGCCUGACCCAGCAACGCCGCGUGAA